CCUGCGGGUGGCUGCAGUGGGGAAUAUUGGACAAUGGGCGAAAGCCUGAUCCAGCCAUGCCGCGUGUGUGAAGAAGGCCUUCGGGUUGUAAAGCACUUUCAGUGGGGAAGAAAGCCUUGGGGCUAAUACCCUCGAGGAAGGACAUCACCCACAGAAGAAGCACCGGCUAACUCCGUGCCAGCAGCCGCGGUAAUACGGAGGGUGCGAGCGUUAAUCGGAAUUACUGGGCGUAAAGCGCGCGUAGGCGGUCUGAUAAGCCGGUUGUGAAAGCCCCGGGCUCAACCUGGGAACGGCAUCCGGAACUGUCAGGCUAGAGUGCAGGAGAGGAAGGUAGAAUUCCCGGUGUAGCAGUGAAAUGCGUAGAGAUCGGGAGGAAUACCAGUGGCGAAGGCGGCCUUCUGGACUGACACUGACGCUGAGGUGCGAAAGCGUGGGUAGCAAACAGGAUUAGAUACCCUAGUAGUC
rnacentral:rRNA from 1 species